rnacentral:rRNA from 1 species
UAAAGAUGUCAUAACUCACUACGGGGACUACGAGCAAUAGUGCUUAAAACCCAAAAAGCUUGGCGGUAUACCAAAUCCGGUCAGGGGAACUUGGCGGUUAAUUCGAUGAUCCUCGAAAUACUUUACUUUUUCUUUUCUUUACAUACCGCCGUUGUCAAUCUAUCUUGAAGAGUGAAAAUUUAGGUGUUUACAGUAUUUAUACUAUCGAAUUCAGGUAAACGUGUAGGUUAUAAAAAAGGCUUAGCUGAGUUACAAUUGUUUAGCAAAAUUUACGGAUAAUUUACUGAAAAAUUAUUUUGAAGGCGUACUUGACAGUAAGAUUUUUUAGAGUGAAAAUCUGAAUGGCGUAAUUGGUAUGUGU